CAUAUUUGUGGAUUUUCCUGUUUUUCUUCUGUUAUUGAUUUCUAGCUUCAUUCCAUUAUGGUUAGAGAAGAUAGUUUGUAUGAUUUCAAUUUUUUUUAUUUAUGGAAAAUUGUUUUAUGGGCUAACAGACUAUCCUGAAGAAUGUUCCAUGUGCACUUGAGAAGAAUGUGUCUUCUGCUAUUGUUGGGUGAAGUGUUCUGUAUAUGUCUGUUAGGUCUAGGUGGUUUAGAGUAUUGUUCAAGUCCUCUGUUUCCUUUUUAAUCUUCUGUCUAGAUGUCUAUCCAUUAUUUAAAGUAAAGUAUUGAGACCUCUAACUAUUAUUGUAGAACUAUUUCUCCUUUCAGUUCUGUCAAUGUUUCCUUCAUAUAUUUUCUGGCUCUGUUGUUUGGUGCAUAUAUAUCUGUAAUUUUUAUAUCUUGUUGUGGAUUGACCCUUUUAACUAUAAAAUGUCUUUCCUUGUCUCUUGUACAAUUUUUUUAAUUUAAAAUCUGUAUUGUCUGAUAUUUGUAUAGCCAUGCCAGCCAGCUCUCUUUUAGCUGCUAUUUGUAUGGAUUUACAUAGUUUUGAUAGCAAAAUUCAGAUUAUGAUCUAGGCAAGUGAUGGUGGUUCAAAAAUAAAUUUUUGUCAUGUUAUUGCUUAUUUAUUUAACUGGAGUUAGUUUAAAAGUGUCAAGAAAUGUCUUAUAUGCAUAUAUAUUUUUUUAAGUGUGUGUACUGUUUACUAUAGAAUUUAUUCUUUGGGGAUUAGGAUAUUUCUUGUAUUUCUUUGUAGCUAAAAGCUGAUACUAUAAACUUUAGUUUACUAUAUGCAUCAUGUCCCAGUUGCAUUUAUAGUCUACAUAGUCAACUAUAGUUCUCAAAUAAUAAUCAUAUUAAUUGCUACUAGAUUAUCAUAUAUGUGUUUGUGUGUGUGUGUAUUCCCUUUAAUGUAUAUUUAAAGUAGACAUCAAGUCAGUUUUAUACCCAUAGUACCCAACAGGCUUACGUUUUGACUUCUAAAACUCUGGAAGUGGAGAUCACAUAUACUUCUUUCGUUGAAAAUUUACUAUAGGUUUUUAUUUGUAAAAUUCUGAGAGUAUAUUGGCUACAUGUAUGGCAUGCAUUUCUCUCCAGGUAUACCAUUAUACCAAGUAGAGCACAUUUUGGUGAUACCAUUCUAUAGAAGUAAAUUGACGAAGCUAAUUCAAUGUUAAUUUACUAUACUUUUCUAAUACCAGUUUCUCUUUAAUUCUUUGACAGAAAAGUUUAGGUUUAGGUGGUUAAUGCAGUAUGAUUUAGAAAUAUAUGAAUUUGAUAAUUUUUUCCUUUUGGGAAAAUUAUUUUAAAGCCCAUAGUAUUUUACUGGUAAGAUUAUUUACAUUUUAAAAGUACCUGUCAUAAUACUUUGCUAAGACAAUUUAUUAUUGAAAGAAUUCAUGUGUAUUUCUGGGCAAUUAUAAGGAAGUUAAGGUUGCAGAAUGAGCUGUGAAUGUUCUUACCUGUCCUCUCCCUCUAAGAGUUGUUGCUCAUUGUUUUGUUUCUCCAUGUUGCUUCCAAUUCUCUAAUAAUCCUUUAGGAUUAGUACCUAAUCCCAGCAAACAAAAAUAUUCAAGGAGUCCCUAUGGAUUAUGAUGAGGAAAAGAAAAAUUUUAUCAAGAAGAGAUGAGCUAUUAGUGAAUAAAGUACAAAGAGAGUGAGUGGGAGGACUUUUGCCACAAGAGCAGCAAAGACCAAGAAGUUGACCCUUGAACAAUGCAGCAGUAAGGGGUGCUGAGCCUCUGUGCAGUGGAAAAUCCGUGCAUAACUUUACAGUCAGUCCUCCAUAUCUGUGGUUCGACUUCCGAGGAUUCAACCAACCAUAGAUGGGAUAGUACUGUGCACGUGGGAUCUUCAUUCCCCGACCAGGGAUUGAACCUGUGCCCCCUGUAUUGGAAGCGCAGAGUCUUAACCACUGGACCAUCAGGGAAGUCUCCGCAGUUGGAUCUUUAUGUUUAGGGUACGGGUAGUUGAGAAAAGGGGAGAUUCUGUUAACUUUCGAAGUUUGGACAUUUGGAUGGAUGAUGCCGUUACUCAUCUCGGAAAAAAAAUAAAAAAGAAGAGUAGUUUCGGGUGGAGCAGGAGUGGAGAGAGGAGGGUGGUUAGUCUGUGAACGUGGAAUUACUUGAAGGAGCCCUGGGUGUAACUGGGGAUGUUUAGUAGGCGGUUGGCUAAAUGGACUUGGAGCUCAGAAAAGAAAUAUGAGCUAGAAAAUCAGAGUUUAAUCCGCUAGUCAACUAACCAUCAACUGAGUAAGUGAUCGAGUUAUUCAGCUAAAUAAUAGUUGAAGCCAUGGCUGUCCCAGUUAUAGAAGCUGAGCCUGUACUCUGGGUGCCAGGCAAUUCACACGUCUGAACUCAUUCACUCUUCCUUAUGACCCCAUGAAGUCGGUCUGCGUAUUGGCCCCACUUUAUAAGAGGGGACACGUCAGAGAUGUCAGGGAACCUGCCCAGGAUCACACACACGCAGCCUGCAGGUUCUGAGUCUAGUGCCCACGUGCUUCCCCACGUGCCGGGAAUGGACUCCGAGCGAGAAGAGAACUGGGCUGAGGUCAGAAUCACAGGGGCCACUGGCGUUAAGGGAUGAGCAGAGAAUGGGAGUGGUAGAAGAAUUCGGAGGGUUGGCAUGGAAGUCAAAGGAAGGCGUUUCCAGAAGGGAGGUGAGUGGAAGGACCUGCUGACAGCUGUUCUAGGGAAGCCAUGUGUACACACCCUGGGAUGGAGGAGCACACAGCCAAGUGAAGACCUGCAAAACCAGACUCAGUCAGCAGCCUGAGAGAGCUCAAAUCUCCAAGCUCCACUUCACUGAGGCUGGAGCAGGUGGCAUGGGAUCCAAGAAACAGGCUUAAAUCCUGGAGUUGCUGAGGGUAGGGUGUGGAGAGAAGCAGCAGCGGUUUCAACCUUCGCAGGCUCCUCCCAGGAGAGAAGGAGGACCUGUUUUAUUGACACUUAGGAAAACUUACUCCACCAAGGAGCCUCCAGUGAAGCCCUUCAGGAGACAGCAUUAUUAAUCAAGGGGCUGUCACCUACGAUGUCAAGCAGGUGCUGCUGAAGCUGUAGGAAGGGACCUGCUUCCCAAAGGCCCUCGUACUGGAAUUAGGAUGCACUUGGGAACUGGCAGGAUGCCAGACAGGCAGCCGUGGCUGUAACGGGGCUCAUGGCGGGGAUCUUCUUGCUCAGAAACUUUUCAUCAGAAGAGCAAACACAUGGCCUCCUUUACCUGGACACGGACAUCCUAGAAUCAACCAUGUCCUCAAGGAAUGUUGGUUCCUCUUAUUGGAGAAUGGAUUGGAAACGCAGACCCAGGCACUAGAUGGACUCACUGCCUCUGGAGUGUCAUAACUUCUGGGCCCUCUCUGCUGAUGGAGCUGGGAAAUAUAGAAUCCGAGUGACUUGUGCUGAUUGGACCAGCAAGGCUGAAUGUAAAAUAUCCUGCAUCAGGAAAGCUUCAGCAGUGUAUGCUGGGCUUCCCUGGUGGCUCAGUGGUUAAGAACCCACCUGCCAAUACAGGGGACACGGGUUUGAGCUCUGGUCCAGAAAGAUCCCACAUGCCGCGGAGCAACUAAG